rnacentral:rRNA from 1 species
AUACGGAGGGUGCAAGCGUUAUCCGGAAUCAUUGGGUUUAAAGGGUUCGUAGGCGGAUUGGUAAGUCAGUGGUGAAAGUCUGCAGCUUAACUGUAGAAUUGCCAUUGAUACUGCUAGUCUUGAAUUACUGUGAAGUGAUUAGAAUGUGUAGUGUAGCGGUGAAAUGCAUAGAUAUUACACAGAAUACCAAUUGCGAAGGCAGAUCACUAACAGUAUAUUGACGCUGAGGGACGAAAGCGUGGGGAGCGAACAGGAUUAGAUACCCUUGUAGUCC